GUCGGGAUAGCUCAGCUGGUANAGCAGAGGACUGAAAAUCCUCGUUU
rnacentral:tRNA from 1 species